GCUCUCAAGGUACUACAUUAUGUCUUUCUUUUAUUAAAAUAGAUUUGUUCAUAAAGUUUAUGUUUCUUCUAUCUUUUUUUUGAGAAGUCAUUGAGAAAACAAAGCUCUUCCUCUUUUUAUUAAUAAAAUAUAUAAAAAAUUAUGAUGUUUAAAAUCUAUACAAUACAUGAAAGAGAAGUUUAGAGCUUCCUAGCAUGCCACGUGUUGCCUUCUAGAAGGCACAUGUGUCAACACCCUAGCUUCUGAACCCCUUUUUAUUAUGUACUUUGUGU
rnacentral:lncRNA from 1 species